rnacentral:rRNA from 1 species
AACGCGAAGAACCUUACCUGGGCUUGAACCGCACAGGACCAGCUUGAGAAAUCAGGCCUUCCCGCAAGGGACCUGUGUAGAGGUGCUGCAUGGCUGUCGUCAGCUCGUGCCGUGAGGUGUUGGGUUAAGUCCCGCAACGAGCGCAACCCUUGUCCUGUGUUGCUAACCCCUUAAAAGGUGCACUCUCAGGAGACCGCCAGCGAUAAGCUGGAGGAAGGUGGGGAUGACGUCAAGUCAUCAUGGCCUUUAUGUCCAGGGCUACACACGUGCUACAAUGGGCGGUACAAAGCGUUGCCAACCCGCGAGGGGGAGCUAAUCGCAAAAAACCGCUCUCAGUUCGGAUUGCAGGCUGCAACUCGCCUGCAUGAAGCUGGAAUCGCUAGUAAUGGCGUAUCAGAACGACGCCGUGAAUACGUUCCCGGGCCUUGUACACACCGCAUAC